CGUAAGGAGAGAUAAUUGUACGAGUUAAGCGGGUUCAAACCACCACUUCAAGCUCCACCGUCGCCAUCCUCUGCACCGAGUUUGUUGAAAUGACCGCCAAUGUUCAUCCAAUACCCACACAUAUGUUCAGGUUCUGCAGCCACGACCAACUCAUGCUGUUGGAAAACACAAACAUCGACUUUCCAGGUUAUGCUUGGGCAUAUAAAUAAUAAUUGAUUUCAUCGGUCUUCUAAAUCCCUCAUCGUCUCGAGGAGAGGAUUUAGAAAAAUCAAUCCCAAGGAAAGGCUCUCAAUUCUAAAGCCUUGAAGCUUUUUCUCCAACUCUCUUCACUCUGUCUCAGUUCUAAAGCCUUCACUUCAAGUGUGAAUGUUUACUUGGAAGCUGGCUUAUUCUGAGGAGCUUGACAUCCGCAAAACGUUCCCAGCCUUGGACGCUAGAAAUACUUAAUUAAAAGAGCCAAAAAGACAGCACAAGCCCAAGAGGGGUCCAAUUACAUAUGAGAGUUUCUGAGUACGACAUUUGCUAAUGCAUCUGCCUCCUCAUUGUUCUCUCUCGAGACAUGAAAAAAAUCUAAAGAAACAAAAGCAGAGGAAAGAUUGUGAAUGUCUUUGAUGAUUCCUUGUAGCUCCUUCCUCUGUAUUUUGUGAGUAAUUGCUCUAAUGAGCGUUAAGUUGUCUGAGCAGCACCAGAGAUUCGAGAUCCCUUGAUUCGCCGCCAUGAAUAGACCUUCUCUGAUCGCCAGCGCCUCCCCGACUAGAGGUGAAUUGACAAAGUCAUGUACCGAUGAUCCUCUCCUAACCUCCGAUGUCAACUCUCCCUUGAUUACCCAUGCAAGUCCGGCUCUGAAUCGGGUAGCUUCCCACGCUGCGUCCGACAUACAAACCGCGA